UCCCUGGCAGUCUAGUGGCUAAGACUCUGCACUUCCAAUGCAGGGAGCAUGGAUUUGAUCCCUGGUUAGGGAA
rnacentral:tRNA from 1 species